rnacentral:misc_RNA from 1 species
UUUCCGUAGGUGAGCCUGCGGAAGGAUCAUUAUCAUGUAAUUCAGUCCCCUUGGCUGUGUUGUAUAUAUACCCACUCUGUGUACCUUCUCCUGUUGCUUCCGCUGGGUGUGUAAUUCGCCCGGCGGAAGGGUAAAAAUAACCUCUGAGUAUUGAUGAAAUCUCUGUCUGAACCGAAUAGAAAGAAAAAUGUUAAAACUUUCAGCAACGGAUCUCUUGGUUCUC